rnacentral:rRNA from 1 species
UUUGAUCUUGGUUCAGGAUGAACGCUAGCUACAGGCUUAACACAUGCAAGUCGAGGGGUAGCAGGGUAGCAAUACCGCUGACGACCGGCGCACGGGUGAGUAACACGUAUCCAACCUUCCCAUAACUCAGGGAUAGCCUUUCGAAAGAAAGAUUAAUACCUGGUAGUACUUUUUCAAGGCAUCUUGAGAAAGUUAAAGAUUUAUUGGUUAUGGAUGGGGAUGCGUUCCAUUAGAUAGUUGGUGAGGUAACGGCUCACCAAGUCUUCGAUGGAUAGGGGUUCUGAGAGGAAGGUCCCCCACAUUGGUACUGAGACACGGACCAAACUCCUACGGGAGGCAGCAGUGAGGAAUAUUGGUCAAUGGGCGAGAGCCUGAACCAGCCAAGUAGCGUGAAGGAUGAAGGUCCUAUGGAUUGUAAACUUCUUUUAUAGUAGAAUAAAGUGAUCCACGUGUGGAUUUUUGUAUGUAUACUAUGAAUAAGGAUCGGCUAACUCCGUGCCAGCCGCAGC